rnacentral:misc_RNA from 1 species
GUCUUCAAAAUACCUAAUCAUUAUUUAACAAGAAGACUUCAAACAAUCAUCCAACAAUGUAUUAAACAUCAAAUAAUUGUACUGAUAUCAUCACCAGAUUAUCAAGUUUUAUCAGAUGAUCAUUAACAUUAUAUAAAAAAAAUAGUAAGUACUUACCUGCCAUCACCAACAACUGCAAUUCAAUGUGACAAUCAUAAUGACUACAGGGCUACAGAUCAAGCUAUAAAACCAAAAGGAAUGUAACAAACAUAAGGACAAUAAAAAAGAAACAGGAAAUUAAUAUAGAUGACAGUGUUGAUUGGGUUGAGCAGUAGUCAUAGUAGAAACAUUGUUAUAACCUAGUAUACAGUAUGAGAAGCAUAACAAAGAGAAUUGAGGAAAUGUAGUAAAAAUAAAUGGAGCUAGGAAGAAAGAUGAUGAGGUACACUAGUCCAAGUGGAGAUAUGCCACAAUGCUAGGCAUGACUCAUGCACAGGAGAAGAUGCAAAGAUAGGAUUAGGCCCAAUUGAGCCAUUAUCAUGGAGACAAGUGAAAGAAAUUUUGAAUUGAUUGGCACUUUAUAGAGUUAAUGGGAGUGCCUUGACUUGAGUAUUGUCAUGUCUGCUCUCGCCAAAUGAGUAAAUGCUUCUUACACUUUCUUACAUGAGAGAAAUAUUGUGGCAGCUCCCUCUAUCCCAAGAAAAGUAUUAAUUAAUAGUCUCAUUGGACCCUUAAGCAAGCUUCCUAGUCGAUUGAUCCAGGCAACCUUACCUCUUUCGAAAGAGUUGAGUCUGAAUGGAACAUGGAAUCUAUGGGCAUUGUGGGAAUAGAUACAAUGAUAUUUUCAAGAAAAAAGGCAGCACCUAAAUUUUCAUGAGAAUAUGAAUAAAAUGCCAUCAAGUGUUUUCAAAAAGAUCAUUGUUUCCUCCAAAUAUGCAGCAAUUCAAAAGUUAUUUCUUCAGUUUCAAUAUUUCAAAUCCUAGGCCUGCACGUGCAUCUAUAUAAGGAUAUAUUACAAAAAUUGCUACUUACUUUUAUCUGAAUUAACUCGAGGUUGAUUCAAUUGCAGAAAUUAUGCUUAAUCUGAACCAG